UACAGAGGGUGCGAGCGUUAAUCGGAAUUACUGGGCGUAAAGCGCGCGUAGGUGGUUUUGUAAGUCGGAUGUGAAAGCCCCGGGCUCAACCUGGGAACUGCAUUCGAGACUGCAUGACUCGAGUAUGGGAGAGGGCAGUGGAAUUUCCGGUGUAGCGGUGAAAUGCGUAGAUAUCGGAAGGAACAUCAGUGGCGAAAGCGACUGCCUGGCCCAAUACUGACACUCAUGUGCGAAAGCGUGGGGAGCAAACAGGAUUAGAUACCCUGGUAGUCCACGCCAUAAACGAUGACAACUAGAUGUCGGGAGGGUUAGCCUCUUGGUGUCGCAGCUAACGCGUUAAGUUGUCCGCCUGGGGAGUACGGCCGCAAGGUUGAA
rnacentral:rRNA from 1 species